UACGUAGGGUGCGAGCGUUAAUCGGAAUUACUGGGCGUAAAGCGUGCGCAGGCGGUUUUGUAAGCCAGAUGUGAAAGCCCCGGGCUUAACCUGGGAAUGGCAUUUGGGACUGCAAGGCUUGAGUGCGGCAGAGGAGACUGGAAUUCCUGGUGUAGCAGUGAAAUGCGUAGAUAUCAGGAGGAAUACCGAUGGCGAAGGCAGGUCUCUGGGCUGACACUGACGCUCAUGCACGAAAGCGUGGGGAGCAAACCGG
rnacentral:rRNA from 1 species